GUCGAUUCAGAAGAAUCGCAAACGCCAGUCCCAGAGGAGGACACCACGCCAGCUUCAGAGGAAGCAAAUACCGAUACGCCAGCUUCAGAAGAAGUUCAUACGCCAGCUUCAGAGGAAGCUAGUCCAUCUGACCAAAGGGUCGUAAAUGAUGAUACAUUAAGCAUUCUUGGCGGCGAUGAUUUUGACGAUAAUGAGGACCUUUUAGAUGAAAUUGAUGAAUCGUUACGGCCGUCAGACUCUGUAGGCCCACCGAUACAUGCAAAAAUCGCAAAAAUUGUAAACGACAAGUUUUCAUCAGAUCUCGGACUAGAGAAGCGUAAGGAGAUAUUUGAAAAAUAUAAAACACCUGAAAAUUGUCCAAAGCUUUUUGUACCAAAGGUUAAUGAACCUAUUUAGACGAGCCUCAAAGCUUUUUACCGACAGCGUGACUUACGCACAGCAGUCUUACAAGACUCUGUUGUUCGAGUACCAAGCGCACUUUCUGUUACUGUUGACGAGCUACUAAAAUGUAGAGAAAACAAGACAUUGCCUGAUUAUCGUACUGUUGCCUCACGUCUUUUUUAUUCAAUUGCGCUUUUGGGCCAUGUUAAUACGGAAUUAUCCUAUAAAAGACGGGAUUCACUACGCCCAUUACUCAGUAACGAAUUAAAGCCUGCUUGUCACCGAUCGAACAAACCCGAGAAAUUUCUUUUUGGUGACGAUCUGAGCAAAUCAGUCAAUGAGGC